CUGCGAAUAUCUGAGUAUUUAUGUCGGAAAAGUGUUUCAAAUGACCUGUUUGAUAGCACUAAAUUGAUUAUAGAACACUAAAACAAGUUAAAAUGCCAUAAAUUCCUAAAACAUUUUUAUUGCGCCUGCACUAUUAUAUACUCAAAUUGUUCGAGGUUUCUUCGAAAGUACUUCGUGUAGAAUGAAUAUUUUGCACGUGUGAUUUCAUCAGUCACAUCUGCAUUGCUCAAUUCACAGUUGUAGAAUUUACACAGUUCAGGCUGUAGUAUGGCUUUAAAUCUGGCAAAGUUAGCAAGACCUGGUCUGUUCUUAUGUGGUGGUCGAUCAUUGUUGCCUUAUGUCCAUUGCAAAUAUCUAAACACUGGU